rnacentral:tRNA from 1 species
GCGGAAGUGGUGAAAUGGUAGACACGCUAUCUUGAGGGGGUAGUGCCUCGUUGGGCGUGGGGGUUCAAGUCCCCCCUUCCGCA